rnacentral:rRNA from 1 species
AACAAGGUGAGGGUAANGGAANNUAAGCCUUAAGNGCUGGGAAAAAGCUUGUUCGAAGGGAAAUUUCAGAAAUUCAAGACCCGCAGGCGGGUAAUAACCCAGGAGCCCACGGAGUUGGGGAAACUGUAAAUUUAUUGGGGUGCUAGAAGCGGUUAGGUAGCCCGGUUUCAAGUAAAAUUUCUUGUGGAAAGUUGUUAAGCUCCAAACUUAAACAGCGGUGCAGGAAAAGACUGCUAAAACUUGGGACUGGGAGGAAGUUAGAAGUAUUUUUGGGGUAGCGGUAAAAUGUUAUAAUCCUAAAGAGACUACCUGUGGAGAAAGCGUCUAACUAGAACAGGUCCGACGGUGAGGAACGAAAGCUAGGGGAGCAAACCGGAUUAGAUACCCGAGUAGUCCUAGCCAUAAACGCUGCGAGCAAGAUGUUGCAUAUUCUUCGUGAAUGUGCAGUAUCGAAGAGAAGUCGUUAAGCUCGCCACCUGGGAAGUAUGGUCGCAAGACUGAAACUUAAAGGAAUUGGCGGGGGAGCACUACAAGGGGUGCGGCGUGCGGUUUAAUCUAACUCAACGCAGAGAAUCUCACCAAAAGCGACGGCACAAUGAAAGUCAGAUUAAAGGUUUUACUUGAGGAGCCGAGAGGUAGUGCAUGGCCGCCGUCAGCUCGUUCCGUAAGGUGUCCUGUUAAGUCAGGCAACGAGCGAGACCUGUACCUACAAUUGCCAGCAGCUGAAUUUCAGGACUGGGCACAUUGUGGGGACUGCCUUGGAAACAGGGAGGAAGGUGCAGGCUACGGUAGGUCUGUAUGCUCCGAAUCUUUUGGGCUACACGCGCGCAACAAUGGUAAAGACAAUGGGAUGCAACUCUGAAAAGGGAAGCUAAUCCUCCAAACUUUAUCUUAGUUCAGAUUGAGGAUUGUAACUCAUCCUCAUGACGCUGGAAUCCCUAGUAAUCAGACGUUAUCAUCGUCUGGUGAAGUAUGUCCCUGCCCCUUGCACAC